UACGAAGGGGGCUAGCGUUGCUCGGAAUUACUGGGCGUAAAGCGCACGUAGGCGGCUUCUUAAGUCGGUGGUGAAAUCCUGGAGCUCAACUCCAGAACUGCCUUCGAUACUGGGAAGCUCGAGUCCGGGAGAGGUGAGUGGAACUGCGAGUGUAGAGGUGAAAUUCGUAGAUAUUCGCAAGAACACCAGUGGCGAAGGCGGCUCACUGGCCUGGUACUGACGCUGAGGUGCGAAAGCGUGGGGAGCAAACAGG
rnacentral:rRNA from 1 species